GGACGAACGCUGGCGGCGUGCUUAACACAUGCAAGUCGUACGGUAAGGCCCUUUCGGGGGUACACGAGUGGCGAACGGGUGAGUAACACGUGAGUAACCUGCCCACAACUUUGGGAUAACGCUAGGAAACUGGUGCUAAUACUGGAUAUGUGCUCCUGCUGCAUGGUGGGGGUUGGAAAGCUCCGGCGGUUGUGGAUGGACUCGCGGCCUAUCAGCUUGUUGGUGGGGUAGUGGCCUACCAAGGCGGCGACGGGUAGCCGGCCUGAGAGGGUGACCGGCCACAUUGGGACUGAGAUACGGCCCAGACUCCUACGGGAGGCAGCAGUGGGGAAUAUUGCACAAUGGGCGCAAGCCUGAUGCAGCAACGCCGCGGGCGGGAUGACGGCCUUCGGGUUGUAAACCGCUUUCAGCAGGGACGAAGCUUUUUGUGACGGUACCUGCAGAAGAAGCACCGGCUAACUACGUG
rnacentral:rRNA from 1 species